GUCGAUGCGCAGCGCCAGCUGCUUGUUGUCGUCCAUCAUGUGCAGGAUUUUGGCCUGGGGGGAGGGAGGAAGAGGAGGAGAGAGAGAGGAACAAUUCCCAGCUGGAAGAGCUGUGAGUAUCACCAGCUUCUUUCAGAACAUCCUGGAAAAUUGACCUUCUGUGAUGGGAAAAAGAUGUCCAAAGUGGGAUUUUUGAUCUGUGCCUCAGGUUUGUUGUGCCCUGGCAAUCUGUAGGGCCAGCUUCCAAUUGGCCCCUUCCAAAUAUCACCAGAGGCAUCUGCAUGGCCAUUUAUCACCAAGAAAAUGCAGUCCAAGAGACCAGCAACUCCAGCAGCAAUCCCCAGCAAAAGCACAGCCUGGCCCAUGCUCCACAGUCUCUUCCAGCACAUCUCCACUCAGUAAUUCCCAUCAAAGCUACAGCAGUUGUUCAUACCUUCAUUUUUUCCCCUCUGCAAAGAUGGAUUUAUAACUGCAUUUCAUCCCCCUCUCACUCAUAAAAAAUGGAGCACCAACUCUUUCCUUCCUUGGAUAAACAGCAGCAUCUUCAUGCAAACCUUGCUGAUGUGGUAUUGCUGUAAUAACUUAUUAACUUAUGAGUUACUAACUUAGAAGUAUUGAAACUGAGCUACACAGAGCUAAGGAUGGACAGGUUUAAAUUUAAAUUUAAAAUUUAAAAUUUGAGUGAAUAUUCUGAAUAUUCUGAAUAUUUCUCCCCGUUGUUGCUGCCUUGCCACAUUUCCCCAUCUCUCUUUCUGUGUGGGUAAAAUGGUCCCGACGACCUUCCUGUGCUGCUCAUCCCUGGGGACCAUGAAAACAAACCCAUUAAUGUUUAUAAAGUGUCUCAGACUGGGGGAAUUACAUCACUGCGGCGAGAUACAAGCUUAAUGGAUCAAAACAAACCCCAGCUCCAAACCCCCCAGCUCAGACACAUCUCAGUUACCCGGCACAAACCUCGAGGAAUCCCACUGAGAAGGGAUAAUUGAGAGAAAAAUGUGAUCCCGGAGAUUUUCCUGCAGUAAACCCAUUUUACAUUAAUAGGAAGCAGAUUUCCAGCCCCCUUUGCAAACGAAUGACUUCCACAGCAUAUUUCACAGCUGAGAGCAUCCAUGGCACCAGCUUCGGACGCGGGGCCAUUAAACCCAACAUUUGUUUAAUGAAUUACAGCAGUGCAUGAGUCUGGGUGUGCUCAGCCUGUGUUUAAAUGUUUAUUGGGAGGACGUCAGCAGCCAGCUCUGCAUGAGCAGUAACAAUGGUGACACGCCGGGGUGGGUCACCCUACCCUGCCAUUAAUGGAGCAUCAGCAUUCGUCUGACAGCUCCUUUGUCCUGGGAAGUCAGCUCUGAUGAAGAUUUGACAUUAGCAGAGGCACGGUGAAACUGAGACGCCUUUGAAUUUUCAUGAUCUUCCAGAUGCUUUAGCCUGAUGGAUUACAGGUGAAAGAACUCACAUUCUGCUCCAAGUGCCAUCAUCCUCCCUUGUUUUGUCAGGGCACCAACCCUGGGUCAGGCCUGGUUUGGGGAUCACCCCACUGCCAAACCAGUCCCUUUCACAUCAACAGAACGUGCUGGGGAGUGUGGAACAAUAAAAACAGCCUCUCCCUUCCCCAUUUCCCUGGUUUUAUACAAAAUGCUACCAGCAGGGUGGACUAAUCCUGUAUUGCAUAAGAUUACAAACCUAUAAUUACAUUCCCCACUAACCUGUGAAAGACCUAAAAAUACACCUAGAUAAUGUUUCAGCAUUGAGAAGGCAGCUGAACUAUUGGCAUUAUAUUUCUACAAUACAUAUUACUUUAAUUACAGUCAAGGUAUCAGUAUGGAUUCUGUGAUUCUGUGAAUUUGGGGUUGGAGGGUACUGAUGUCCAUUCCUUUAAGGGUUUGUAACACAGGUUGGCUGGAGUCAGCCACUUUGUGAAAAAUAACACUUUUCCAAGAUUGAGAGAAAUGCCUCUACAUCAGAUAAUUCACAAGUUCUUUUGGGUAGGAGGAUACUGCAGGUAUCAUUCCAAAGGAUGGGGAAACUGAGGGGCUGGGACAGGCUGCAGUGGGAGAGGGCAACCCAAGAAAUAAAAUGAGGCUUUCCAGCUGCAUCAGGAACAACUCCUUCAUCUCACCAUCAUCUACCCUAAACACCCAGCCAGAGAAGGGCAGGGAACAUGUAUUUUCUAAUAAAGUCUGUUUAACUUUGACAUAGAUUACUUCUAAAAAACCCCCAUCAAACCACACCAAACACACGAAUGUGAUAAAGUAUCUCAGUACAAAAUCAAUUCCAAGGCGACUA